rnacentral:rRNA from 1 species
ACUCGAGUGGCGAACGGGUGAGUAACACGUGGGUGAUCUGCCCUGCACUUUGGGAUAAGCCUGGGAAACUGGGUCUAAUACCGGAUAUACCUCAUGGGCUGCAUGGUUUGUGAGGGAAAGCUUUUGCGGUGUGGGAUGGGCCCGCGGCCUAUCAGCUUGUUGGUGGGGUGAUGGCCUACCAAGGCGGCGACGGGUAGCCGGCCUGAGAGGGUGACCGGCCACACUGGGACUGAGAUACGGCCCAGACUCCUACGGGAGGCAGCAGUGGGGAAUAUUGCACAAUGGGCGCAAGCCUGAUGCAGCGACGCCGCGUGAGGGAUGACGGCCUUCGGGUUGUAAACCUCUUUCAGCAGGGACGAAGCGCAAGUGACGGUACCUGUAGAAGAAGGACCGGCCAACUACGUGCCAGCAGCCGCGGAAUACGUAGGGUCCGAGCGUUGUCCGGAAUUACUGGGCGUAAAGAGCUCGUAGGUGGUUUGUCGCGUCGUUCGUGAAAACUCACA